rnacentral:ncRNA from 1 species
GAGGACUGCUGAAAUGCUAGUCUGCAGAAGCAGGCAACACUAUCAAAUUGCGGGAACACCCUAAAGACCUCAACACCAAGCGUCAUGGGAAACCAUGGCGUGGCCGAGCUAAUAGCCCUGGGUAUGGUAACAGCUUGAGGUAUGAAGCCUUCGCAAGGAGGCUGAAAUGGGCAAUCCGCAGCCAAGUCCUAACGUGCUCGAAACCGAGUGCCAUGGAUGCUGUUCACAGGCCAAAUGGUAGUGGGUGACUCUUGCGAGUUGCUUAAGAUAUGGUCGGGCCCCUUCAGAAAUGUGGGGGAUAAGCUUACGCUUCUCUAAACCGUUCCGUAGGUGAACCUGCGGAAGGAUCAUU